GAUAUUCAUUCAUUCUCUCUCUCUCUCUCUCUCUCUCUCUCUCUCUCUCUCUCUCUCUCUCUGUCUCACACACACACACACACAGAGAGAGAGAGAGAGAGAGAGAGAGAGAGAGAGAGAGAAGGAGGGAUGAU
rnacentral:miRNA from 1 species